rnacentral:rRNA from 1 species
GACGUAGGGCGCGAGCGUUGUCCGGAUUUAUUGGGCGUAAAGAGCUCGUAGGCGGUGUGUCGCGUCGGCCGUGAAAACCCAGGGCUUAACCCUGGGCUGGCUUCCGAUACGGGCAGACUAGAGGUAUGCAGGGGAGAACGGAAUUCCUGGUGUAGCGGUGAAAUGCGCAGAUAUCAGGAGGAACACCGGUGGCGAAAGCGGCUCACUGGACCACAACUGACGCUGAGGCGCGAAAGCUAGGGGAGCAAACAGG